AAAGGCGUUCGCGCCUCGUCAUUAGCUCCUCUUACCCCGGUCAUCCGAGUGGACUCACAGCGGAGACAAUGCAGGAUGUCCGCAUACAGCUGCCGGCUGUGCUGCGACCCGAGGGAUUGUGGACCUGAGGCCGGCUCGGUUUCCUCCCCGCACUGGUCUUCUGACUGAUUGCUGUCAUGUCUCUGCUGCUCCCUGCAGGUCUCCAGUAGGCGCUGACUAGAGAAUUGUGGAAGCUUCCUGGAGUCGUGGCGUGAACAGUACCAGCAGCCUCUUGCAGUUGAUGGUGACGUGACAUCGAAGCUGCCACCACUUUGUUGCGUAGAGGUCAUUUGAAGUCAGUCUAUUAAUAAAUGCAAAUUAAAGACUCAGAACUCUUGUCUCUGUUCUAUAUGAAAUGUGUUAUUUCCCACGUAUUAAAUCACUCGAGAGCUUUCGGCACUGUCGUUAAGUGUUUUUCUUUCUUUUCUUAAGCAUCUGAAAAGUGGUGCCUUAAAGCCAACCAACGUUUCAAACGUGUUGGGUAAAGGUCAUGAGCAGCUGCUGUAGUGGCGCAGUGCCUCCUUUAGUGGGCAGUGUACCGAUUCUUGCAGGAGGACCACAGCAUGUCUGCAAUAAAGAGGACACAUCGAUGUAGCCUUUGCAGGCCAAUAAAGUUUUUAAAGGUUAUUUUUCAAACUAAAACAUUAAGUUGACUCCGGUUUCUAGUUGGUAUCUGAU
ensembl:lncRNA